AUACGGAGGGUGCAAGCGUUAAUCGGAAUUACUGGGCGUAAAGCGCGCGUAGGCGGUUUGUUAAGUUGGAUGUGAAAGCCCCGGGCUUAACCUGGGAGGGUCAUUCAAAACUGGCAGACUAGAGUGUGGUAGAGGGUAGUGGAAUUCCUAGUGUAGCGGUGAAAUGCGUAGAGAUUAGGAGGAACACCAGUGGCGAAGGCGACUGCCUGGACCAACACUGACGCUGAGGUGCGAAAGCGUGGGUAGCGAACAGGAUUAGAAACCCCGGUAGUCC
rnacentral:rRNA from 1 species